GAACAAAAAAACCGUGCAUUACUAAUGAAGUCAAGGCACCGAACCUCUCGUAGAGGAAUGGCUAAUAUAAGAGAAGAUUUGAAAAAAGAACGAAAUAUUCAAAAUCCAGAGAGGUAUCAAGUUUGGCUUAGAUCGCGUGAAAAAAAUAAAGUUCUUGUGACAGAGCUAGACCGACAAAUUGCCGAAAAGAUAGAGGACGUCAAAGAAAAAGUGAUUCGUG